rnacentral:rRNA from 1 species
AUGGUAAAACAGAUGCAUCUGAAAUUUGAGGACACGACUGCUCAUCUGGAAUCUCAAUUGGGUGAUUUGAAAACCUGGUUGGAGACGCAAGAACCUGAGACCCAGAAGGCAAAGUCCAAAUUUGAAUUUAGAGUAUCUGAAUUGGAGAAACUGAAAGCCGGCUUUGAGGUUGAAAAGAAGACCUGGGCUGAAGAGAAAAUUUCCUUAACCCAACGAGCAGAAAAAAUGGAGGCGGCUCUUGAGAAGGUGAUCACAGAACUAUUCGGCUUAAAACACCACGUAUCGCAGAUGGUGUCAGCUAUGUUUGGCCCCAGGAGCACCAAUCUCAAUCAAGAUAUGUUGGUGAAGCUAAAGGCGGUUUACACUCUAGUAGAACAGUUGUACGCCGGAACUCGGCGCGCUCUCACCACAAUCUCUCCAUCUAACCAAGCUCCAACACUCUUAGUUGAAGUCUUGAGAAAGCUUUCUGUAUUGCCUGAACGGUUUAGUGAGAUGAAGCGAUCAUGCGCAAGAGCCGGAGUUGUGACGGCGUUGAGCCGGGCCAAGGCUUGGCUGCCAGAAUUAGACACGGCCGACAUAUCGACCGGGUACCCGAGCUUAAAGGAAGACGGUACCUCGUUCAGCAAUAAAGACUUUGCCAACUGCGUGAAGACCAUACGUCCUCUAGCUAGUCUGAUUGCUAGUAAAACCGAUCUAUCCAGAUAUGAGCCGGCCUAUGACUUGGGAAACCAGAAUAUGCCAACCCUGUCAUAUAAAGUGCAUGAUCUGAUACCCCUAGUUCGUAAGCACACUUUCGCGCGUGAAGUUGACCCGGAUGAACUUAUUGAUAAUGAAGCGGAAUUCCAAGCUUUGAGUGGCAUUGACUGGUCAUCCCCAACCUUCCAGGAAAUCGAAGAGGACGAAGACAUGGAGCGGGAUGAUCCAGAAGCAUCAGGCUAUCAGAGCCAAGAGGAUUAA